rnacentral:tRNA from 1 species
GCGCUCGUAGCUCAGCUGGAUAGAGCAUCGGACUUCUAAUCCGACGGUCAGUGGUUCGAAUCCACUCGAGCGCGCCA